rnacentral:rRNA from 1 species
UUGGAGGGCAAGUCUGGUGCCAGCAGCCGCGGUAAUUCCAGCUCCAAUAGCGUAUAUUAAAGUUGUUGCAGUUAAAAAGCUCGUAGUUGAAUUUCGGGGUCAGCAGGUUGGUCGUGCCAAUGGUAUGCACUGGCCUUGCUGAUUCCUCCCUCUUGAUGAGCCGUAAUGUCAUUAAUUUGGUAUUGCGGGGAAUCAGGACUGUUACUUUGAAAAAAUUAGAGUGUUUAAAGCAGGCAAGCGCUUGGAUACAUUAGCAUGGAAUAAUGAAAUAGGACGUUUGAUCCUAUUUUGUUGGUUUCUAGGAUUGACGUAAUGAUUAAUAGGGAUAGUUGGGGGCAUUAGUAUUCAAUUGUCAGAGGUGAAAUUCUUGGAUUUAUUGAAGACUAACUACUGCGAAAGCAUUUGCCAAGGAUGUUUUCAUUAAUCAAGAACGAAAGUUAGGGGAUCGAAGACGAUCAGAUACCGUCGUAGUCUUAACCAUAAACUAUGCCGACUAGGGAUCGGAUGAUGUUAAUUUUUUAAUGACUCAUUCGGCACCUUACGGGAAAC